GCGCGUGUAGCUCAGUGGAUAGAGCAUCUGACUACGGAUCAGAAGGUCGGGGGUUCGAAUCCUCCCACGCGCG
rnacentral:tRNA from 1 species